AUGCGUUGUUGGGUAGGGGAGCGUUCUGUAAGCCUGUGAAGGUGUGCUGUGAGGCAUGCUGGAGGUAUCAGAAGUGCGAAUGCUGACAUAAGUAACGAUAAAGCGGGUGAAAAGCCCGCUCGCCGGAAGACCAAGGGUUCCUGUCCAACGUUAAUCGGGGCAGGGUGAGUCGACCCCUAAGGCGAGGCCGAAAGGCGUAGUCGAUGGGAAACAGGUUAAUAUUCCUGUACUUGGUGUUACUGCGAAGGGGGGACGGAGAAGGCUAUGUUGGCCGGGCGACGGUUGUCCCGGUUUAAGCGUGUAGGCUGGUUUUCCAGGCAAAUCCGGAAAAUCAAGGCUGAGGCGUGAUGACGAGGCACUACGGUGCUGAAGCAACAAAUGCCCUGCUUCCAGGAAAAGCCUCUAAGCAUCAGGUAACAUCAAAUC
rnacentral:rRNA from 1 species